GUCCGAAGGUUUUGACCAUCAAAAUUGUGCAUUAGAAAUAAUAGUUAGGACCAGAAGAUGUUCUUCAAGGAGCACCAUAGAAAAACGAUAUUUAGAACUUCCAGAUAUCUUAGCUUUAUACAAAAAAAUAUCAGUUCGGUUUCUUUUAAAAAAAAAUGUAUAGACUGAGAUGUACUUUUUGAUCAGUCAUAUUGACAAACAUUGACGAUUUUUCGUGCAGUUUAAGAUUAAUCUUAAAAAUCAAAUAGCGGGAGAUUAAGCCUGGUUUGUUUAGAAAAAUUGAGAUAUAGGAAAGCACAAAAAAAUUGUAACGAACAGAGCACACUUUUACAGUCAUGCAUGUCUACGGGACGUAUCUUAAUUUCUUAAAAAAAAAAAAAAAAAAAAGUCAUCGAAAACUUGAUUUAUGUCAUCCAACAUAACAAAAAUCUGCUAUAUUCGACGUCAAAAUUAAUUUUUAUUUUACUCUUCACCAGAAGACAUUCUGGAGAUGUGCAGAAGAGACCAAUAAAACACGCCCCAGACGAAAAACCUCAGUUUCCAUUUUGCACUAUUAACGUCUGUUUGGUAAAACAAAAAUAAUUUAGACCACGACAUAAUCAACAAAGAUGAAAUGGCCAUAUCAUUGAUAUAAACAAUUUAGUUGAAUAAGAAGUAAAGAAAUGAAAAAAAAAAUUGUUCCUACCGUUUAUGAAUCAAAAUGAUCAAUAUGAGUUAUUAACUUCAAAUAGUUGUGUCAAUGUGGUUCAAAUCGCCUACACGCUGCGCAUUGGGCAUGAUGGUGUACGUUCGAGUCCCAUCAAAUCCAAUUGUUUUUUCAUCGUUUCGUAAUUUUUUACAUUUGUCAUUUUAAAUCACAUUAUCAUGAUAUUGUAAAGACACCUUAACAACAAAAAAAUAAAAAAAUGUGCUAACAAUAUUUCAGUUUUAUUAAGGUUGAGCCGGUAAUUGUUGAAAUGUAUAGUUUAUGAAAUUGCGAUCUUUAUUCAUAUAUUAUACCGGUAUGUAUACUAGUGCGUUAUAUGUCCCACCUUCUUGUGUUUUUAUCAGCCGAGUACAUAAAAGUACACACA
rnacentral:lncRNA from 1 species